CCUACGGGGGGCUGCAGUGAGGAAUAUUGGGCAAUGCCCGCAAGGGUGACCCAGCAACGCCGCGUGGAGGAUGAAGGCCGUAAGGUUGUAAACUCCUGUUAGAGGAGAAGAAUAGUACCGAUUGGAUCGGUAUUUGACUGUACCCUCAGAGAAAGCCCCGGCUAACUACGUGCCAGCAGCCGCGGUAAUACGUAGGGGGCAGGCGUUGCCGGGAUUUACGGGGGGUAAGGGGGGCUCGGGAGGGAGAGGUGAAAUCCUACAGCUUAACUGUAGAACUGCCUUUGAUACUGUUAUUCUUGAGUUCGGGAGAGGGAGACGGAAUUCCAGGUGUAGUGGUGAAAUCCGUAGAUAUCUGGAAGAACACCAGUUGCGAAGGCGGUCUCUUGGUCCGAUACUGACGCUGAGGCGCGAAAGCGUGGGGAGCAAACAGGAUUAGAUACCCUAGUAGUC
rnacentral:rRNA from 1 species